rnacentral:rRNA from 1 species
GACGAACGCUGGCGGCGUGCCUAAUACAUGCAAGUAGAACGCUGAAGGAGGAGCUUGCUUCUCUGGAUGAGUUGCGAACGGGUGAGUAACGCGUAGGUAACCUGCCUGGUAGCGGGGGAUAACUAUUGGAAACGAUAGCUAAUACCGCAUAAUAGCAGUUGUUGCAUGACAACUGUUUGAAAGGUGCAAUUGCACCACUACCAGAUGGACCUGCGUUGUAUUAGCUAGUUGGUGGGGUAACGGCUCACCAAGGCGACGAUACAUAGCCGAUCUGAGAGGGUGAUCGGCCACACUGGGACUGAGACACGGCCCAGACUCCUACGGGAGGCAGCAGUAGGGAAUCUUCGGCAAUGGACGGAAGUCUGACCGAGCAACGCCGCGUGAGUGAAGAAGGUUUUCGGAUCGUAAAGCUCUGUUGUAAGAGAAGAACGAGUGUGAGAGUGGAAAGUUCACACUGUGACGGUAUCUUACCAGAAAGGGACGGCUAACUACGUG